rnacentral:rRNA from 1 species
UGGGGAAUUUUGGACAAUGGGCGAAAGCCUGAUCCAGCAAUGCCGCGUGUGUGAAGAAGGCCUUCGGGUUGUAAAGCACUUUUGUCCGGAAAGAAAUCCUUGGCUCUAAUACAGUCGGGGGAUGACGGUACCGGAAGAAUAAGCACCGGCUAACUACGUGCCAGCAGCCGCGGUAAUACGUAGGGUGCAAGCGUUAAUCGGAAUUACUGGGCGUAAAGCGUGCGCAGGCGGUCUGCUAAGACCGAUGUGAAAUCCCCGGGCUCAACCUGGGAACUGCAUUGGUGACUGGCAGGCUAGAGUAUGGCAGAGGGGGGUAGAAUUCCACGUGUAGCAGUGAAAUGCGUAGAGAUGUGGAGGAAUACCGAUGGCGAAGGCAGCCCCCUGGGGCCAAUACUGACGCUCAUGCACGAAAGCGUGGGGAGCAAAACAGGAUUAGAUACCCUGGUAGUCCACGCCCUAAACGAUGUCAACUAGUUGUUGGGGAUUCAUUUCCUUAGUAACGUAGCUAACGCGUGAAGUUGACCGCCUGGGGAGUACGGUCGCAAGAUUAAAACUUAAAGGAAUUGACGGGGU